AUUGAACGCUGGCGGCAGGCCUAACACAUGCAAGUCGAACGAGUGGCGGACGGGCGAGUAAUGUCUGGGAAACUGCCUGAUGGAGGGGGAUAACUACUGGAAACGGUAGCUAAUACCGCAUACGAUCCUAUGUGCCCAGAUGGGAUUAGCUAGUAGUGGGGGUAAAGGCUCACCUAGGCGACGAUCCCUAGCUGGUCUGAGAGGAUGACCAGCCACACUGGAACUGAGACACGGUCCAGACUCCUACGGGAGGCAGCAGUGGGGAAUAUUGCACAAUGGGCUCAAGCCUGAUGCAGCCAUGCCGCGUGUAUGAAGAAGGCCUUCGGGUUGUAAAGUACUUUCGGCGGGGAGGCGUUACCCGCAGAAGAAGCACCGGCUAACUCCGUGCCAGCAGCCGCGGUAAUUC
rnacentral:rRNA from 1 species